AUAGGCCUCUAUUUUAUAUUUUUGGGCUGGCCCAUAAAAUUUAGGGGCUUGAAAUCCUCUCCGAACUCCAGUCAGCCCGACCAAAUAAUGGCCCCUAAAUCAAUCUGACUAGUGGGACCCAGCUGUCAGCGAAACUCUCUCCCGUCCUCCCUCUGCUCGCGCUCGCGGUUGCGCCGCUGCCGUCCUCCCUCUGCGCCGGCAACCUCGCGCCUCGCCGUCGUCCUCCCUCUCUUCCUCCUGCACCCGACGGAGACCUUCCUCCCGCACCCGCACUGUGUGCUUUCGGUCACCAUCUCUGAACUACCCGCACGACGAGCGCGCCGGUCAGCUCUCGUUCCCCUGGCGAAACCCGGCGCGCGCGCCUUCUUGGGCCGCGCGAAGGGAACCGCCGCAGGCAGCAGCGGCCAGCAAACCAGAUUGGCAACGACUACUGCUAGGGUGCUAGUACCCCGUGCGAGGCUAGCUGAAGAGUGAAGUAGGUCAUCGAUCUACCAGAUCUUCAGCCGCCUCCUCUUGCUCCUGCUCCUUGAUUUUUACUGGUUUUUCAAGAUUGGCGCAAGGGAUUUCAUUUGUUCUCAGCAAAGCAAGGGAUUUAUCUACCAGAAAACUUCUGUAAGUACAAAGGUAAACCAUUAGGGCUAUCUGGUGAAUCAUAGUCAGAAAAAUACUUUUGCUUACCAUAGUCAGAGAUGGCUGAAUUUGGGUUGUCAGUAGCUCUAGUUUAAAAAGUAAUGGACUUCCAUGAGGUGAAAUUUCUUCCAUUUGCAGCAACGAGGUCAGCAGCUUUGCUUCUGCAAUCUGCAUAUUAUGUUCUUCUUGGAUAGUUGAUUUCUGCUUAUGCAUUUUUAUGUUUAGGUACAGUUUUUUUUGUCAGAAUCAGAACAGUCAAGCAUUGAAUCUAGAGUCCUUGAUGGAGCACAAAACUUGGAAGUCUCUUCUGGAAACAACAAAGAUGAACAGGAACCUCGUGAAAAUGGAUCAGUCGUAGUGAAUAACAAUGGUGGACUUAACAGUAGAAAUGAAAGGAUUUUGAAUGGAAACGUAGAUAAGGAAGCACCUGAUGGUCAUUCCUCAGUAAGCAAACCUGCCCCAUCAGAUAGCCACAAAUUGACGGACCAAGAGAAUGAAAAUGGUGUGAUGUAGCGGAUGCAUGAAGGCAGACACAUCUAGUCAUUCACUCAUUCUACUGCUAUGAUACGCUCACUGAAAAUUCUGUCCAAGAUGGUCCUCAUUGGGAUCUGCUGUGUAGGCUCAACCGACAUAGCCUCCAUUGCAAUUUUCAGCCAUGCGACCCCCAUUCGUUGUCUGAUUGCAGGUCUACUAGAUUGCAAUCCUAUGAUGUCACAGAGAAUAUGUAUAGAUGAUUUUAGUUGUAUUGUUAAGUUGUACUGUGAAAAUAAUCUGAGAUUUUCACUUUGGAGCUUGUGAAAAUAAUUCACCAUUCUGUAAUGAUAUUGUCAGGUGAAAAUAAUCUGAGAUGUUGUUCCAGUUAUUGUCAAGUGCAA